UCCCUCUUGCGGCGUGCCUAAUACAUGCACGUCGAGCGAACAGACGAGGAGCUUGCUCCUCUGACGUUAGCGGCGGACGGGUGAGUAACACGUGGAUAACCUACCUAUAAGACUGGGAUAACUUCGGGAAACCGGAGCUAAUACCGGAUAAUAUAUUGAACCGCAUGGUUCAAUAGUGAAAGACGGUUUUGCUGUCACUUAUAGAUGGAUCCGCGCCGCAUUAGCUAGUUGGUAAGGUAACGGCUUACCAAGGCGACGAUGCGUAGCCGACCUGAGAGGGUGAUCGGCCACACUGGAACUGAGACACGGUCCAGACUCCUACGGGAGGCAGCAGUAGGGAAUCUUCCGCAAUGGGCGGAAGCCUGACGGAGCAACGCCGCGUGAGUGAUGAAGGUCUUCGGAUCGUAAAACUCUGUUAUUAGGGAAGAACAAAUGUGUAAGUAACUAUGCACGUCUUGACGGUACCUAAUCAGAAAGCCACGGCUAACUACGUG
rnacentral:rRNA from 1 species